UGGUUCUGGCAUCGAUGAAGAACGCAGCGAAAUGCGAUAAGUAAUGUGAAUUGCAGAAUUCAGUGAAUCAUCGAAUCUUUGAACGCACAUUGCGCCCUUUGGUAUUCCGAAGGGCAUGUCUGUUCGAGCGUCAUUUCAACCCUCAAGCUUCUGCUUGGUAUUGGGCUUUCAUCCUGUCUAAAGGAUGUGCCUGAAACUCAUAGGCGGUUGUACUCAACUCCCUUGCGUAGUUAAAUUUUUUCUCGCUUGGAAGAUUAGGUGCGACCUGCCUAAGAACCCCCUAAUUUUUAAAGGUUUGACCUCGGAUCAGAUAGGGAUACCCGCUGA
rnacentral:misc_RNA from 1 species